rnacentral:tRNA from 1 species
UCCCUAGUGGCUUAGGUGGUAAAGAAUCUGCCUGCAAUGCAGGAGACCCAGGUUCGAUCCCUGGGUCAAGGAA